rnacentral:rRNA from 1 species
AUUGAACGCUGGCGGCAGGCCUAACACAUGCAAGUCGAACGAGUGGCGGACGGGUGAGUAAUGUCUGGGACACUGCCUGAUGGAGGGGGAUAACUACUGGAAACGGUAGCUAAUACCGCAUAUCAUCAUAUGUGCCCAGAUGGGAUUAGCUUGUUUGGGGGGUAACCGCUCACAACGGCGACGAUCCCUAGCUGGUCUGAGAGGAUGACCAGCACCACUGGAACUGAGUAACGGUCCAGAUUCCUACGGGAGUCAGCAGUGGGGAAUAUUGCACAAUGGGGGCAAGCCUGAUGCAGCAAUGCCGCGUGUAUGAAGAAGGCCUUCGGGUUGUAAAGUACUUUCAGUGGGGAGGCGUUACCCGCAGAAGAAGCACCGGCUAACUCCGUGCCAGCAGCCGCGGUAAUUC